CGUGGUUUUACAACGUUUUCAGAUUUGAAGAAAAUGUCGGGAAAUAUGCAGCCGAAAUCCGAGGAGAGCAGAUACAAAUUAUGACACAAUCUUCAGUAUUGUACUUUGGAAAGAUAAUAAUCUACACCAGCAAUCUGCGGAUCAUCCGGGCCUAUCAGAGUGAAGGAAGGACAUGGAGACAUCCUCAGCUCCCUGGGGGAAUGGGCGAGUACUCACAGGGAGGCCCAAAGCCCUCUGUGCUCACAGGGAGGGGCAGAGCACCGAUCGACCGGACAAGCAAUAUACUGCAUCCAGCUGCCAGCAUUGUGGAGGUUCGGACUGUCCCCUGCUCUUUGUGCCAUGGCAGCUGUCCAUACUGGCCAACCACUUCAACGAGUCUAUCAGUGUGCUGUGAUGCCAGUCCUGCUACACUGAUGGACUGGAGAGGUGCCAGUCCUGUACCAAAUGACACUAACCACUGGCUGUGUGUGCCAAUGGUACUGCUGCAAUGAGAUAAUAUCACUGUAAUACAAAAUGCUUAUGAUGGGUAUGGGAGCACUGUGUAUGUUUUUGUAAGGAAUCAGAAUUCAAUUUUUGGAAAGGAAGGAUCCUACCAUACAUGCAGCCGGCUGAAUUAUAGAGAACAAUUAGUGUGUGCAGUGAAUAUUGCAUAUGAUAAGACAACAUAUUCACUCUUUUGGUGGUAGCUGGUGCAUCUGAGUCCCUACAAAAAUAACAUGCACCUCCAACUGGUUUCUUCAUGACAACAUGUCAUUUUAAGAAAAAUAUUGUAAAACCAUUGCAUUUUAUUUUAUCCACAAGGCAAGCUGUCCUAUCAUCCCCACAUUGAGAGAAAACUGCUUUUUAUCUCCCAUGUUAAGGUAAUUGAUGCUUUCAUUUUCACUAAGCUUAAUAAUGAGAGAGCGGGAGAAACUGACGGUAAUAAAUGGUGAUGGAGAGGCUUUUGGUCAGCUCUGGAGGUAGAAAGAAAUUAAUUUGUUUAUUGUCGUCCUAAUUCUGAGGUAAUUGCUUCCAGAGUUGUCUUGGGUGAAAAUGUAUAGAAUGGACUCGUGCCUUAUUUUAAUUGGCUCAUAUUAGUCAAUUAAAUAAUCAAUUUAAGUUUAUAGGCUCCUGUCUUUACUAGUAGAAAUGGAGAUACACGGGUUGUACAGCAAAUAUCCAUGAAAGACGUUUGUUGAUAUACAGUUGUUGCUGGAGGUUUCUUAAUGGCUUUAUCUCAGCUGAACACACAUAACUGUAGUGCCAAAAAGUCAGAGCUGGUCUUAUUCAUUGCCUCUCCUCUGUGUGGGGAAAUUGCUGCAUCAGAGCAUUGAGCUGCUGCUCUUACAGGGAAUCCUGCAGCAUGGAGAGCUACUGUAGCUGCAAUAAUUAUGUGAGGUUCUGUCAAAGCCUCAGAGGUGUGACUAAUUACCUCGUUAGCUCCCCAAGAAAUUGUAUUGAUCAAUUGUGUUCACCUGUAUUGUAUUUAAGCCUUGUUUCUUUUUGUUUGAGGGACGGCUGCCCACAGGAGGGAAUACAGGCCAGAGGUAUGGUUGUUUCAAGGAGCAUGGGGGUAAUGGAGUCUGAAACGUUGGAAGUUAUGGGAAAAAAGAUGGACUCCUACCCCCUUUUGUUUCUGUUCAAAUCAAAUGUUAUUUGUCACAUACACAUGGUUAGCAGAUGUUAAUGCGAGUGUAGUGAAAUGCUUGUGCUUC
ensembl:lncRNA